AUAUCCUAUCCUCCAAAGAUGGUGUGCUUAUUUGCUUCCAUGAUGUUACCCUUGAUGACACAACUGAUAUUGCAGAGCACAAGGAGUUCGCAAAUCGUAAAAGGACCUAUGAUGUGCAAGGGGUCAACACUACUGGCUUUUUCACUGUUGAUUUUACCCUUGAAGAACUUAAGACAUUGCGGGUGAAGCAGAGAUAUGCAUUCCGGGAUCAACAGUAUAAUGGAAAAUUUUCUAUUAUCACCUUUGAAGAGUUCAUAUCAAUUGCACUGGAUGCCCCAAGAGUGGUUGGAAUAUACCCUGAGAUGAAAAAUCCUGUCUUUAUUAACCAGCAUGUGAAGUGGCCAGGUGGGAAGCGAUUUGAGGACAAGUUUGUUGAGACUCUUAAGAAGUAUGGAUAUACAGGCUCAUAUAUGUCAAAAGAUUGGCUGAAACAACCUGUUUUUAUACAAUCCUUUGCUCCAACUUCACUUGUUUAUGCAUCAGAUCUGAUAGACUCACCCAAAAUCUUCUUGAUUGAUGAUGUUAC
rnacentral:misc_RNA from 1 species